rnacentral:rRNA from 1 species
CGUAGGGUGCGAGCGUUGUCCGGAAUUAUUGGGCGUAAAGGGCUCGUAGGCGGUUUGUCGCGUCGAAAGUGAAAUUCCGAGGCUCAACUUCGGAUCUGCUUUCGAUACGGGCAGACUAGAGGUAGGCAGGGGAGAGUGGAACCCCAGGUGUAGCGGUGGAAUGCGCAGAUAUCUGGGAGAACACCGGUGGCGAAGGCGGCUCUCUGGGCCUUACCUGACGCUGAGGAGCGAAAGCGUGGGGAGCGAACAGGAUUAGAUACCCUGGUAGUCCACGCCGUAAACGUUGGGCGCUAGGUGUGGGAGGCUUUCUACGUCUUCCGUGCCGCAGCUAACGCAUUAAGCGCCCCGCCUGGGGAGUACGGCCGCAAGGCUA